CCUACGGGAGGCAGCAGUGAGGAAUAUUGGUCAAUGGUCGGGAGACUGAACCAGCCAAGCCGCGUGAGGGAGGAAGGUACAGAGUAUCGUAAACCUCUUUUGUCAGGGAACAAAGACUGGGACGCGUCCCCGGAUGAGUGUACCUGAAGAAAAAGCAUCGGCUAACUCCGUGCCAGCAGCCGCGGUAAUACGGAGGUUGCGAGCGUUAUCCGGAUUUGUUGGGUUUAAAGGGUGCGCGAGCGGUCUGUUAAGUCAGCGGUCAAAGCCCGGGGCUCAACCCCGGCCCGCCGUUGAAACUGGCAGUCUCGAGUUGGAGAGAAGUAUGCGGAAUGCGCGGUGUAGCGGUGAAAUGCAUAGAUAUCGCGAAGAACUCCGAUUGCGAAGGCAGCAUGCCGGCUCCACACUGACGCUGAGGCACGAAAGCGUGGGUAUCGAACAGGAUUAGAUACCCCUGUAGUC
rnacentral:rRNA from 1 species